GUGGAUGAUGGAUUUUGGGAGGGAGAACUGGAUGGCCGGAUUGGUGUCUUCCCAUCUCUGGUUGUAGAGCUUCUCCAGGAUGAAGAGGAAGAGCUGCAGGAAAAAGAUGAUGAAGAAACUCACCAAAGUCCAACUAAGUCUUCCAUCUCAACCCCUUCACCAAUCUCUUCACCUCCUGGUGGCAGUUCACAAGCUGGUGCUACUUCUACUGGUGGCGAUGAGACUGAAGAGUCAGUUCCUGUGGUGAUCUCGGACCUUGAAGGCCACACUUCAGGUAGAUCUGAUUCAUAUUUGUGUUUCUUUAAUACAAAUGUAAAAGGUGACGUAAUUUAUUUUUCGUUCCCUCAGAAGCUUCUGUCAAGGUUCAAACUCCCGCACAGAUCCCCAGCGGUCGAAUAAAACCAGUAUGUCUCUGAUUUACAAUUACUCAUGAAGGCAACACAGCUUAGUUGAAACUAACGGCUCAUUUCUGUCUGCUGUUUCAGUGCAGAGCGCCUCCUCUUCCUCCAGCAGAAACACCUUCUUCAACUCAGCAUUAAGACUGGAGGGAAGUUUCAUUGGUCACCACAUGCUUGCUUGGAGUUCUGUUUAAAACGAAACAUUUUUCUGACUUAUUGGAUCGACUGAAGCUUCAGCGUGGAACAGCAAAACCCAGGAAAACCCCAAGAGUACCUAGCUGCAAACAAAACGGCGGACGGCGCUCCAAACCUGCCUCAGAUGGGACCAUUGUCUGUAUCUGGGAACUGGACUGAGUAAAGGCUUUACUUCCUGCUCCAACCAGAUGAAGUUGAUCCAUCUAUUGUUUUGCCAUAUGGACGUCGCCAUGUUGGAACCUGACAUCGUCAGUAAGCUGUGAUUUGUCCAAGUCUGCCUGAGCCCUCGUUUCUAUGGCAACCAAGAAUGAGCCUGUUGGAAGGCCACACCUGAAAUCAGGCAACAAGAAAUCUGUCAAACGUUUUAAACGUGGGGGCCAUCAGGCUCCACCUACUUUUAUCGAGGUAUCUGAUUGGUCAGUUUAUAACUUGAUUAAAAUAUCAUAGAAAAAGAGAAUUAGUAAGAACAUGUUAGAAAAAAGAUAUCAGGACAAGAAUGGUUCUUCUGACCAAUAGAAUGACAGACUAACAGCUGUUUAUUUCUACAUAGAAGUCUAUGAGAUUUUGGCUUCUUGAAGCCACUUCCUGUUUGGAACGCCAGCGGGGAGGGGAAGGUCACUCGGUUCUCUUAUACAGUCAAUGGAUGGGACUGAAGUUACAUUGAAUCUUAUCAUCCAGAUGUGAGUUUGCAUACAAACCCUAACCAGCUCCAUAUAAGUUAACUGACUUAAACCCAAACUACCACUAAACAGGUAACCUCCUCCAUUAUUACUACAGUGUUGCCGCUUUUCUGGUUUUAAUUCAUUUUACUCACUUUACGAUCUUGAUGUUUGUGUCCUUUUUCAUAUGUUUGUUGUUUCUCCAUCUGAAUUCUGCUUCAUGUGAAAAAACAGUCAGAUUGGUUUAAGAAUUCUUAUAUAUUUAUAUAUAAUCAGAAAACCAAACUAACAUGUAAAAAAAAGGAAGAAAUAUUAGGACAAGCAGAGUUUGAUCAUGAAGUGCCUGGAGGUUCAUUUUUAGCACCUUCACACUAAAUACAAAACACAAACUACAGCACAGCAGUGAUUCUCACAAAAACAGACCAUAUUUUCAGGUGUUUAUUUAUAAAGCAAACAUUUAUGUGACAGGAAGUGAAAGUUACAUGAGAGGCAGUGUGUUAGGAAACGGCAAAAAUGCAAACAAGUCACUUUCUUUUUCCAGGUCAAGUCUCGAGUCCUCAUGUCAGAAUUGUGUUUUUCUUUGUUGAUGUAUUUAAAAACGAACGGCAUGCUGACGUAAGUGACUUUAGCAGCGCAGCUUCAAAGAUGAAAAUAAAUGUCCUCCGAUUCCGUUUCAGUGCAACUGUUUAAAGUGAGUGUUUAAAAUAUACAAAAUGUGUACAACAGGAGGACAAAAUUAAGAGAAAGUUAAAGAAAAAUCUCUAACUGGGUUCAAAAUGCAAGAAUCAAGAUGUGUUAAAAUUUAGUCAGAGGAUCUUCACAGGAGGUUUUAUUAAGUGCCUUCUUGUAGUAUAAUUUAAUGAGAUUAUUGAAUGUUCCUAGUAUCAACUUUAACAAAAGACACUUGCUGAAGAUGUCCUGUUGAUGCUUGUUAAACUAAAAAAAAUCAAUAACUUAUCUGAAAUCACCAUUUUUGCAAAAUUGGAAGAACUUUGAGGGUAUUUCAAAUCAUCUCCAUGAGCCAUGGACCACCAAGAAGGGCUCAAAAACAGAGAUGUGUCAUCUCAGAAAACAUUCACAAUGUGUGUAGAACUUAUAGGUUUUGGUUUUAAAGUUGGAGUAAUAAAAUCAAAUUUAAGCACAGAGUUUUGCUUCAUCUGUUGGACACGGUGGUGGAAGCAUCAUGGUUGUUAAUUUCUUAUUUUCUUUGCUAUGAACUAAUUUCGCAGAGUAUUACUGACUCAUUGGUGCAAUCAAAUAAUAAAGAAAAUAUUCAGACUAAACUCAAGAGAAAAGGCUUCCAAACAACCCAUAAACAUAACGAACACUCAAAGAAAUGUUUAACCCUGGAGAACAAAAAAGCAAUUUCCCUCUGAGCUUCCUGAGCCUGAGCAGCGGCUACAUUUGGGUUUCCUUAGCAACACAGUUUUUUUUGUUCCCCAUGCCCACAUUCCUAAUAUGUUCAUAUCGUAUGUCAUAUUAUUUAGUUUAGCUUGAGCCAAUGAUUCAUGUAAUGAAUUUAAAUUAAAAGAAAAUGCCACUUUUGCUAGUCUGACGGCAUUCAAGAUCUACUGUUUUUAAUUCCAACAUUUUCUCUCCUGUAGCUUCCAAAUGAUGCUCGAGUAGUUAGAAGGCCGCAGACUUAAAAUUAAAAUUGCCGUUGGCACUAAAGGUGAUUUGUUUUUUUUAAUUCAAGAUUAAGUUUUCCCAAGGUCAAAGGUCAAUAAAACUUCUACUGAAGUUGUAGACUUAAUCUGGUGGUGUGUGUGUGAAAUUUUGGGAAGAUUGCUCAAGCAAAGUUCUAUUUUUUUUUUGUGUCCAUGUUGUGUAAAAACGUGAAAAUUGCCAAAUUUCACACUUUGUCAUAAACUUGCAAAAUACCCCAAAUUUAUUGUCACUGGGUACUAGGUGUGAGCAAAUUUUGGUGAGUUUUGUGGUGGAGGGGCAAAAAAGGUUAAAAAAAAAGAAGAUUUGCGAAAUAACAAUCUGGUCUUUCAGUCUACGUCUUCUGCUGAACCCAAAAAAACGGUGGUCAAAUUCUAGCUGCUUUGGUUCUCCAGGGUCAAACGGAUGAUCUGCUGUAAGGACAUAAAGCUGGUGCAUAAAUUAUGUAUUUUACAGAACAACUGAUUGGUGGUAAAAGGAAAAGCAUCAUAUUUGCUCGGAGCUUUUAGUCCAGCAAACGUAUGAACAGCUCUGGUUAGUUUAUCAAAAGCAUGUUCACAGUUAAG
rnacentral:lncRNA from 1 species